UACGGAAGGGGCAAGCGUUGUUCGGAAUCAUUGGGCGUAAAGGGCGCGUAGGUGGUUCUGUAUGUCUACCGUGAAAGCGUACGGCUCAACCGUAUUUUGUCGGUAGAAACUGCAGGACUUGAGGCUGGGAGGGGCUGGUGGAACUCCCUGUGUAGCGGUGAAAUGCGUAGAGAUGGGGGAGAACACUCGUGGCGAAGGCGGCCAGCUAGACCAGUUCUGACACUGAGGCGCGACAGCGUGGGGAGCAAACAGG
rnacentral:rRNA from 1 species